AGUUUGAUCCUGGCUCGAAUGAACGCUGGCGGCAGGCCUAACACAUGCAAGUCGAACGGAGUUAUAUUGUAGCUUGCUAUGGUAUAACUUAGUGGCAGACGGGUGAGUAAUGUAUAGGAAUCUACCUAGUAGUACGGAAUAAUUGUUGGAAACGGCAACUAAUACCGUAUACGCCCUACGGGGGAAAAAUUUAUUGCUAUUAGAUGAGCCUAUAUUAGAUUAGCUAGUUGGUGGAGUAAUAGCCUACCAAGGCAAUGGUCUAUAGCUGAUCUGAGAGGAUGAUCAGCCACACUGGAACUGAGAUACGGUCCAGACUCCUACGGGAGGCAGCAGUGGGGAAUAUUGGACAAUGGGCGAAAGCCUGAUCCAGCCAUGCCGCAUGAGUGAAGAAGGCCUUUGGGUUGUAAAGCUCUUUUAGUGAGGAAGAUAAUGACGGUACUCACAGAAGAAGUCCUGGCUAACUCCGUGCCAGCAGCCGCGGUAAUACGGAGAGGGCUAGCGUUAUUCGGAAUUAUUGGGCGUAAAGGGCGCGUAGGCGGAUUAGUAAGUUAAAAGUGAAAUCCCAAGGCUCAACCUUGGAAUUGCUUUUAAAACUGCUAAUCUAGAGAUUGAAAGAGGAUAGGGGAAUUCCUAGUGUAGAGGUGAAAUUCGUAAAUAUUAGGAGGAACACCAGUGGCGAAGGCGUCUAUCUGGUUCAAAUCUGACGCUGAGGCGCGAAGGCGUGGGGAGCAAACAGGAUUAGAUACCCUGGUAGUCCACGCUGUAAACGAUGAAUGUUAAAUAUGGGAAGUUUUACUUUCUGUAUUACAGCUAACGCG
rnacentral:rRNA from 1 species